ensembl:lncRNA
GAAGAGAAUAGUUUUUUUAAAUCAGGUUGUAAAUGUGCUUCUUUUUGCUGUAGAGUGUUUCAACAUGGGAGUCUUUGUGAAACAACUCAAAGUGUGACAGCAGCAGUAGCGCUUUUAUCUGCAUGCUUGUGUGUGCACUUUAGCUCAGUGUGUCCCUUGUCAGGAGGGGUGAGUGUUUAACAAAUGACUGCCAACCCGGGGACACAGGGGCCAGGGACCUCUGUUAGGGAGUCGGCCAACAAUAAAUCUCAAAAAUCAAUAUGACAGGGCCUGGAGUAAUCAGUAUCAAUGAUUUUAAACCGGAAUAAGUCCCUUGGGGUGAAGAAUGAUAAAAUUCUCUGAGUUCAAAGUCUGAAAAAACAUCCUGAAGGAUGGAAAUGAAGGAUGGAGAAGAGGAAGAAAAAAAGGAGGAAAGAGAGAGAGAGAGAUUAUUGAUGCUUUUUACCCAGAAGGCCUUGCAGCAGGGUUAGGAUCUCUGUUCUGUUUUCUCUGUUUGUGCCUUUUUCCCUUCUUUCCUCCUCUUACUUUUCAUCCGUCACUCUUCUGCUGUCUCAUCUGGUCGUCUUCACUCUUACCUACUCUUCCUUUCAUGCUUUCUUACUCUAAAUCUUUGCAGCUCUUUCUCUGGUUUUGUCUUUAGCGACUCCAUCGCUGCUUUUUUUUUUCUUUUUUUUGUAGUCUGUUCCACUUUUUCUGCCCCACAGGAUUUAGUUUUGAUUGAUAGUGAGUUUUUCUCUCCUUUUCCGCCUUCUAGUUUACUUUUAAUGAUCCAUUAGGAGACGAAAUCUACAGAUCAAAUUUCAAAAUGGAACUUGUGACUUAUUAAAAUCCUAUUUCGUCAUUCAGGAGAUAAAAUAUGUGUUGAGAAAAACACCAACAUGAUAAAGCCAAUUACAGAACUGUUGCAUGAAAUAUUUACACUCAUUCUUGUAAAAUUAGACUAUAACAAAACAUCAGAUUUAAGGAGGUCUUAAAUCUCUGUGGACACGUCUGCCCAAUACUAA